rnacentral:rRNA from 1 species
AUACGUAGGGUGCGAGCGUUGUCCGGAAUUACUGGGCGUAAAGAGCUCGUAGGUGGUUUGUCGCGUCGUCUGUGAAAUUCCGGGGCUUAACUCCGGGCGUGCAGGCGAUACGGGCAUAACUUGAGUACUGUAGGGGAGACUGGAAUUCCUGGUGUAGCGGUGAAAUGCGCAGAUAUCAGGAGGAACACCGGUGGCGAAGGCGGGUCUCUGGGCAGUAACGGACGCUGAGGAGCGAAAGCAGGGGUAGCGAACAGGAUUAGAUACCCUGGUAGUCCAUGCCGUAAACGGUGGGCGCUAGGUGUAGGGGUCUUCCACGACUUCUGUGCCGUAGCUAACGCAUUAAGCGCCCCGCCUGGGGAGUACGGCCGCAAGACUGAAACUCAAAGGAAUUGGCGGGG